rnacentral:rRNA from 1 species
GCGGAUGAGGGAGCUUGCUCCCUGAUUUAGCGGCGGACGGGUGAGUAAUGCCUAGGAAUCUGCCUGGUAGUGGGGGAUAACGUUCCGAAAGGAACGCUAAUACCGCGUACGUCCUACGGGAGAAAGCAGGGGACCUUCGGGCCUUGCGCUAUCAGAUGAGCCUAGGUCGGAUUAGCUAGUUGGUGAGGUAAUGGCUCACCAAGGCGACGAUCCGUAACUGGUCUGAGAGGAUGAUCAGUCACACUGGAACUGAGACACGGUCCAGACUCCUACGGGAGGCAGCAGUGGGGAAUAUUGGACAAUGGGCGAAAGCCUGAUCCAGCCAUGCCGCGUGUGUGAAGAAGGUCUUCGGAUUGUAAAGCACUUUAAGUUGGGAGGAAGGGCUGCUGGUUAAUACCCUGCAGUUUUGACGUUACCAACAGAAUAAGCACCGGCUAACUUCGUGCCAGCAGCCGCGGUAAUACGAAGGGUGCAAGCGUUAAUCGGAAUUACUGGGCGUAAAGCGCGCGUAGGUGGUUCGUUAAGUUGGAUGUGAAAGCCCCGGGCUCAACCUGGGAACUGCAUCCAAAACUGGCGAGCUAGAGUACGGUAGAGGGUGGUGGAAUUUCCUGUGUAGCGGUGAAAUGCGUAGAUAUAGGAAGGAACACCAGUGGCGAAGGCGACCACCUGGACUGAUACUGACACUGAGGUGCGAAAGCGUGGGGAGCAAACAGGAUUAGAUACCCUGGUAGUCCACGCCGUAAACGAUGUCAACUAGCCGUUGGAAUCCUUGAGAUUUUAGUGGCGCAGCUAACGCAUUAAGUUGACCGCCUGGGGAGUACGGCCGCAAGGUUAAAACUCAAAUGAAUUGACGGGGGUCCGCACAAGCGGUGGACCAUG